GAUGAACGCUGGCGGCGUGCCUAAUACAUGCAAGUCGAGCGAACAGACGAGGAGCUUGCUCCUCUGACGUUAGCGGCGGACGGGUGAGUAACACGUGGAUAACCUACCUAUAAGACUGGUAUAACUUCGGGAAACCGGAGCUAAUCCCGGAUAAUAUAUUGAACCGCAUGGUUCAAUAGUGAAAGACGGUUGUGCUGUCACUUAUCGAUGCAUCCGCGCCGCAUGAGCGAGUUGGUAAGGUAACGGGUUACUAAGGCGACGAUGCGUAGACGAAGUGAGAGGCGGGUAGGCGACCUUGGAACUUGGACAGGGACAAGAGUCCUGAGGGAGGCCGCAGAAGGGAAUCGUCCGCAACAGGCGGAAGCAUGACGGAGUAGGGCCGCGCGAGUGAUGAAGGUGUUCGGAUCGUAAAGAUCUGUUAUUAGUGGAGAACAACUGUGUAAGUAAAUAUGCACGUAUUGACGGUACCGAAUCAGAAAGCACCGGCUAACUACGUG
rnacentral:rRNA from 1 species